rnacentral:rRNA from 1 species
CCUACGGGAGGCAGCAGUGAGGAAUAUUGGUCAAUGGACGAGAGUCUGAACCAGCCAAGUAGCGUGAAGGAUGACUGCCCUAUGGGUUGUAAACUUCUUUUAUAUGGGAAUAAAACAGGGUAUGCAUACCCUCUUGUAUGGACCAUAUGAAUAAGGAUCGGCUAACUCCGUGCCAGCAGCCGCGGUAAUACGGAGGAUCCGAGCGUUAUCCGGAUUUAUUGGGUUUAAAGGGAGCGUAGGUGGAUUGUGAAGUCAGUGGUGAAAGUUUGCGGCUCAACCGUAAAAUUGCAGUUGAAACUGGCAGUCUUGAGUACAGUCGCGGUGGGCGGCAUUCGUGGUGUAGCGGUGACCUGCUUAGCUAUCACGAAGAACUCCGAUUGCGCCGGCAGCUCACUGGACUGCACCUGACACUGAUGCUCGAAAGUGUGGGUAUCAAACAGGAUUAGAUACCCGGGUAGUC